rnacentral:sRNA from 1 species
UGAUCUUGUCCACACAUCGAGGUUGC